ACUCCUACGGGAGGCAGCAGUGGGGAAUUUUGGACAAUGGGCGCAAGCCUGAUCCAGCCAUGCCGCGUGCAGGAAGAAGGCCUUCGGGUUGUAAACUGCUUUUGUCAGGGAAGAAAUCCUCUGGGUUAAUACCUCGGAGGGAUGACGGUACCUGAAGAAUAGCACCGGCUAACUACGUGCCAGCAGCCGCGUAAUACGUAGGGNGCGAGCGUUAAUCGGAAUUACUGGGCGUAAAGCGUGCGCAGGCGGCUUUGCAAGACAGAUGUGAAAUCCCCGGGCUCAACCUGGGAACUGCAUUUGUGACUGCAAGGCUAGAGUGCGGCAGAGGGAGAUGGAAUUCCGCGUGUAGCAGUGAAAUGCGUAGAUAUGCGGAGGAACACCGAUGGCGAAGGCAAUCUCCUGGGCCCUGCACUGACGCUCAUGCACGAAAGCGUGGGGAGCAAACAGGAUUAGAUA
rnacentral:rRNA from 1 species